ACUGGGUUGUGACUCAUGGCCUGAUCCUUGCUACUAGGGAAUGUAAGGCUGGUGGGUUACUUGAAUUCAGGAGUUCUGAGCUACAGUAGGGCUAAAGCUAAUCUGGCAUCCUCUCUAAGUCAGGCACCAAGAUAAUGAACUCCUAGGAGCAGGGGAUCACCAAGCUGCCUAAGGAGGGUGGAAGCAGCUCAGAUCAAAAAGGGAGCCAGCCUAAAUCUUCCUUGCCUUUUGGUAGUGGGGUUGGGCCUGUGAGUGGACACAGCUCUGACAAGAUAAGAAGAUUCAGUCUCA
ensembl:misc_RNA Metazoa_SRP Metazoan signal recognition particle RNA